CCUCUUCCCAAGCCUGCCCGAGGGGCUUAUAUUUAUCAGGUCGGGCAACCGACUAUGGCGCUAAACGCCACGUGGAAUAGGCAUUGCGGACCCGGGGGCGGUACCCGGCGCCUCCACCGAAGCCGGUUUCGGCCGUUUUCGGGGGGGCGAAACAGGAUCGACGCGUGCGGUAAAGACGUGGUUUGUGCUCGGCAUGGUUCCGCCGUUAUCGGGCCAUCUUCACAAGUGCCAACGACAACGAGGCACUCGCGAUUGCUGCGUAAUCGACGCCCCUAACGGGGCAUGAUUGCAGGCGAAAGCGCGGUUCGGGGGGCACCGGGCAACAGAAGCCCCCCACU
rnacentral:tmRNA from 1 species